rnacentral:rRNA from 1 species
GACGAACGCUGGCGGCGUGCUUAACACAUGCAAGUCGAACGGAAAGGCCCCUUUGGGGGUUCUCGAGUGGCGAACGGGGGAGUAACACGUGAGUAACCUGCCCUUGACUUCGGGAUAACUUCAGGAAACUGGGGCUAAUACCGGCUAGGAAUCCUUGCUGCAUGGUGGGGGUUGGAAAGCUUCGGCGGUUUUGGAUGGACUCGUGGCUUAUCAGCUUGUUGGUGGGGUAGUGGCUUACCAAGGCUUUGACGGGUAGCCGGCCUGAGAGGGCGACCGGCCACCUUGGGUCUUAGGUACGGCCCAGACGCCUACUGUUGGAAGCAGUGGGGAAGCUUGCACAAUGGGCGGCAGCUGGAUGCAGCAAGGCCGCGGGCGGGAUGACGCUCUUCGUGUUGUAAACCGCUUGCAGCAGGGGCGAAGCUUGUGGUGACGUUACCUGCAGAAGAAGCACCGGCUAACUACGUG